rnacentral:rRNA from 1 species
GACAGAGGGUGCGAACGUUGUUCGGAAUUACUGGGCGUAAAGCGCAUGUAGGCGGCAGCGCAAGUCGGGCGUGAAAUCCCACGGCUCAACCGUGGAAGUGCACUCGAAACUGCGCAGCUAGAGUCCUGGAGAGGAAGGUGGAAUGCUUGGUGUAGAGGUGAAAUUCGUGAGAUAUCAAGCGGAACACCGGUGGCGAAGGCGGC